rnacentral:rRNA from 1 species
GAUGAACGCUGGCGGCGUGCCUAAUACAUGCAAGUCGAGCGAACAGACGAGGAGCUUGCUCCUCUGACGUUAGCGGCGGACGGGAGAGUAACACGUGGAUAACCUACCUAUAAGACUGGGAGAACAUCGGGAAACAGGAGCUAAUACCGGAUAAUAUAUUGAACCGCAUGGUUCACUAGUGAAAGACGGUUUUGCUGGCACUUAUAGAUGGAUCCGCGCCGCAUUAGCAAGUUGGUAAGGUAACGGCUUACCAAGGCAGCGAUGGGUAGCCGACCUGAGAGGGUGGUCGGCCACACGGGAAGUGAGACACGGUCCAGACUCCUGCGGGAGGAAGCAGUAGGGAAUCUUCCGCAAUGGGCGAAAGCCUGAUGGAGCAACGCCGCGUGAGGGAUGAAGCUCUUCUGAUCGGAGAACGCUGUUAGUAGGGAAGAAGAAAUGCGUAAGUAACUGUGACCGUCUUGACGGUACCUAAGGAGAAAGCCCCGGCUAACUACGUG